ensembl:lncRNA
CUUGGGCCUUGGACUGGCUGGGGCGGUUCUUUCCCUGGAGGCCUGGCAGGUGCCACCCACCACCUGCACCUGGAGAGAAGAGGAAAGAUCAGACAGUUUUUAGAACAGAGCACAGCCACCUUGAAGAUGGAAGGCAAACCAUUUCUGGAGCCCCAACCUCCCCACUCCAGUUUCUCCAGGAAGAGAUCAUCACACCACGUCAUGUGGUCUAUUGCCGCCCCAACCCGCUGGCCUCAAGGGGAGGAAGAAAUAAAAGCAAGCACAUUCCAGACGCUGCAGGGAAAAUGGGAUUUGGGAAAAGGAUGUUUGUUCAAAAUCAACCAAAAAUAGAGAAGCAAGAAGAGGAAGAGGCAACCUCUUGACCCAUUUAAAAAGCUAUUUCCCAAGAAGGAUUUUCUAAGCAAUGAACAAUGUCACAAAAGGAAACGCCAAUGUAAAAACAUAAAGCUUUGGUAUGUUAGAAACUAUGGAAAACAAACAUGAAAGUAAUCAACACACUCAUAAACCACACACACCACAAAUGUCACAAUGACAGUGGAUAGAGA